rnacentral:rRNA from 1 species
UCACGUAGGGGGCAAGCGUUGUCCGGAUUUAUUGGGCGUAAAGAGCGUGUAGGCGGCUUGGCAAGUCCGCUGUGAAAACUCGAGGCUUAACCUCGAGACGUCGGUGGAAACUGCUUGGCUAGAGUCCGGAAGAGGAGAGUGGAAUUCCUGGUGUAGCGGUGAAAUGCGCAGAUAUCAGGAAGAACACCCGUGGCUAAGGCGGCUCUCUAGUACGGUACUGACGCUGAGACGCGAAAGCGUGGGGAGCGAACAGG